rnacentral:rRNA from 1 species
UACAGAGGGUGCGAGCGUUAAUCGGAAUUACUGGGCGUAAAGCGCGCGUAGGCGGUUUUGUAAGUCGGGUGUGGAAUCCCCAAGCUUAACUUGGGAACUGCAUUCGAGACUGCAUAGCUAGAGUAUGGGAGAGGGAAGUGGAAUUUCAGGUGUAGCGGUGAAAUGCGUAGAUAUCUGAAGGAACAUCAGUGGCGAAAGCGACUUCCUGGACCAAUACUGACGCUCAUGUGCGAAAGCGUGGGGAGCAAACAGG